rnacentral:rRNA from 1 species
AUUGAACGCUGGCGGAAUGCUUUACACAUGCAAGUCGAACGGCAGCACGGACUUCGGUCUGGUGGCGAGUGGCGAACGGGUGAGUAAUGUAUCGGAACGUGCCCAGUCGUGGGGGAUAACGUAGUGAAAAUUACGCUAAUACCGCAUACGAUCUAUGGAUGAAAGCGGGGGAUCGCAAGACCUCGCGCGAUUGGAGCGGCCGAUAUCAGAUUAGGUAGUUGGUGGGGUAAAGGCCCACCAAGCCAACGAUCUGUAGCUGGUCUGAGAGGACGACCAGCCACACUGGAACGGAGGCACGGUCCAGACUCCUACGGGAGGCAGCAGUGGUGAAUUUUGGACAAUGGGCGAAAGCCUGAUCCAGCCAUUCCGCGUGCAGGAUGAAGGCCCUCGGGUUGUAAACUGCUUUUGUACAGAACGAAAAGGUUUCUACUAAUACUAGGAGCUCAUGACGGUACUGUAAGAAUAAGCACCGGCUAACUACGUGCCAGCCGCCGCUGUAA